UACGUAGGGUGCGAGCGUUAAUCGGAAUUACUGGGCGUAAAGCGUGCGCAGGCGGUUCGUUGUGUCGGUGGUGAAAGCCCCGGGCUUAACCUGGGAAUGGCCAUGGAAACUGGCGAACUGGAGUGUGGCAGAGGGGGGUGGAAUUCCGCGUGCAGCAGUGAAAUGCGUAGAUAUCGAGAGGAACACCAGUGGCGAAGGCGAGUCCCUGGACAACACCUGACACUGAGGCACGAAAGCUAGGGGGGCAAACAGG
rnacentral:rRNA from 1 species